rnacentral:rRNA from 1 species
AUUGAACGCUGGCGGAAUGCUUUACACAUGCAAGUCGAACGGUAGAGGGGGCAACCCCUCGAGAGUAGCGAACGGGUGAGUAAUAUAUCGGAACGUGCCCAGUCGUGGGGGAUAACGUAGCGAAAGUUACGCUAAUACCGCAUACGAUCCAAGGAUGAAAGCGGGGGAUCGCAAGACCUCGCGCGAUUGGAGCGGCCGAUAUCAGAUUAGGUAGUUGGUGGGGUAAAGGCUCACCAAGCCGACGAUCUGUAGCUGGUCUGAGAGGACGACCAGCCACACUGGAACUGAGACACGGUCCAGACUCCUACGGGAGGCAGCAGUGGGGAAUUUUGGACAAUGGACGCAAGUCUGAUCCAGCCAUUCCGCGUGCAGGAUGAAGGCCCUCGGGUUGUAAACUGCUUUUGUACGGAACGAAAAGGUCUCUCUUAAUACGGGGGGCUCAUGACGGUACCGUAAGAAUAAGCACCGGCUAACUACGUGCCAGCCGCCGCCGUAA